AUUGAACGCUGGCGGCAGGCCUAACACAUGCAAGUCGAACGAGUGGCGGACGGGUGAGUAAUGUCUGGGAAACUGCCUGAUGGAGGGGGAUAACUACUGGAAACGGUAGCUAAUACCGCAUACCAUCGGAUGUGCCCAGAUGGGAUUAGCUAGUAGGUGGGGUAACGGCUCACCUAGGCGACGAUCCCUAGCUGGUCUGAGAGGAUGACCAGCCAAACUGAAACUGAGACAAGGUCCAGACUACUACGGUAGGAAGCAGUGGGGAAUAUUGCACGAUGGGCGCAAGCCAGAUGCAGCCAUGCCGAGUGUAUGAAGAAGGCCGUCGGGUUGUAAAGUACUUUCAGCGGGGAGGCGUUACCAGCAGAAGAAGCACCGGCUAACUCCGUGCCAGCAGCCGCGGUAAUUG
rnacentral:rRNA from 1 species